rnacentral:lncRNA from 1 species
AGAUAAGAAGCAAUAAUGGAGAUAUAGCAGAUACGACAAAAUCAACGGAGACAAGAUAUUGUUGAAUUAUUGUACAAAGUCUUAUUAUUGUUGAAUUAUUGUAUAAAGUCUUUAGACUUUACGUAAAAGAUGCAAUAAUUAUAGAUUUGUAGGUUUGUAGGAAAUUAAAAGCUAGUUAGUAGUCUAGCCUCCUUUUUUGACUUUUUAUAGUUCUUUUAGCAAUGUAAAAAAACGUGUAAAGAUUGUAAAGAGGAUUUCAUUCUAUAAAUAAAGNNNNN